rnacentral:rRNA from 2 species
CGUUCUGUAAGCCUGUGAAGGUGUGUCGUGAGGCAUGCUGGAGGUAUCAGAAGUGCGAAUGCUGACAUAAGUAACGAUAAAGCGGGUGAAAAGCCCGCUCGCCGGAAGACCAAGGGUUCCUGUCCAACGUUAAUCGGGGCAGGGUGAGUCGACCCCUAAGGCGAGGCCGAAAGGCGUAGUCGAUGGGAAACGGGUUAAUAUUCCCGUACUUGGUGUUACUGCGAAGGGGGGACGGAGAAGGCUAUGUUGGCCGGGCGACGGUUGUCCCGGUUUAAGCGUGUAGGUGUGUGUUCCAGGUAAAUCCGGUUCACUUUA